UACGUAGGGGGCGAGCGUUGUCCGAAGUUACUGGGCGUAAAGCGCGCGUAGGCGGGCCAUUAAGUGGGAGGUGAAAGGCUGGGGCUCAACCCCAGCAGUGCCUCCCAUACUGGUGGUCUUGAGGGCGGUAGGGAGGGGUGGAAUGGCUGGUGUAGCGGUGAAAUGCGUAGAUAUCAGUCGGAACACCGGUGGCGAAGGCGGCCCCUUGGGCCGUUCCUGACGCUGAGGCGCGAAAGCUGGGGGAGCGAACGGG
rnacentral:rRNA from 1 species